rnacentral:lncRNA from 1 species
UUUCUGCAACCACUGCGCGCGCAGCUGCAAGUGACGUAACUGUGACGUCUACUCCAAAUUGGUCUAUAGACGUUCACAAUUAUAAAUGUCGGUCGCCCACAAGGUGGCCACAGAGAUGGAGAGUCCUUCUAAGAUUGAGAGGCGCCAGGCGUGGGCAAGCAGCCGUCGCAAGUUUACCGCAAGAGAUGCAGAACACCGCAGCCCAACAGCAGAACACCAGCCUCAUUUCUCUCUCCAAGAUGAUGUCUUUGUGGAUGGAUGCUCUGCUGGAAAGAUUGAAACCUGGCUUCAAGGUUGUGGGAAUGAAGCCACUCCUGCCAAAAGCAGUCACCUAACAAUAGGUA